ACAAAAAACGCCAAUACUCUAAAUUAGAUUAGGAUCUGGGAAUUCUUCCAUUUUCCAUAAAGGAGCCGAAUGAAACCAAAG
rnacentral:tRNA from 1 species